UUACUUCGAAUAACAGAGCCCUAAUAAAGGGUGAACAAUGAGAGUGAAUUGAUGAAGUCUGCAUUCAAGUUUGUUGCAGUUUGUAGCUUUUGUUUUAUCAUAUGAAAAUGAAAUUCUCUCUCUAAACCUUCUCCGCGUCUCUAUAAUAGGGAUUCGUAAACCCUAAGGUACCAAAAUGUCACCAUCUCAACGAAGAAAGAACAUACCUCAUGCUUGUGUGAGUGGUUGUGGUCGCUCCUCUUCUGCGCCGAAGAAUAGGAAGAAGAAGAAGUUCGACUACAAUAACGGUACGUGUCUACAUGGACUUGAUGCAAUGGUGCUUGAGUCUACGACAGAGUGGAAUCCAGAGAGAUUGUUUCUUCGUUUUCGUUAUGGGAGGUUGAUGAAGUUGUUGAUGCUAGAAAAAAUUGGGGGAUUCAAGAGCAAAAUGAAGAAAGCAAAUGAAAGUCUGUAGAAGAAAGCAAAUGAAAGGUCGAAGAAGACAUGAAGAUGUUGCAGACAAUUAAUGGAAUUGAUCAAAGAAUUGAAGAACAUUAAAAAAUGGGUGCAGUGUGUAUGCUUAGAAAUAAGUACCUAUAUUUUGUGGUUAUUUGUUAACACUUUUCAUUAGUGAUUGGAAUGCUCUGUAAGUAAAAGUGGAAAUAUCUGAUAAAAUUGUUUUGUAGCUUUCAUUUGCAUCAAAUUUGAAUAGAAAUGUUUGCUUCAA